UACGUAGGGUGCGAGCGUUGUCCGGAAUCAUUGGGCGUAAAGAGCUUGUAGGCGGUUUGUCGCGUCUGCUGUGAAAAUCAGGGGCUCAACCCCGGACUUGCAGUGGGUACGGGCAGGCUAGAGUGUGGUAGGGGAGACUGGAAUUCCUGGUGUAGCGGUGAAAUGCGCAGAUAUCAGGAGGAACACCGAUGGCGAAGGCAGGUCUCUGGGCCGCUACUGACGCUGAGAAGCGAAAGCAUGGGGAGCGAACAGG
rnacentral:rRNA from 1 species